rnacentral:rRNA from 1 species
ACGAACGCUGGCGGCGCGCCUCAUACAUGCAAGUCGAGCGUGAAGCGGGACUUCGGUCCCGUGGAAAGCGGCGAACGGGUGCGUAACACGUGAGCAACCUGCCCCGAAGACUGGGAUAACCCGGGGAAACCCGGGCUAAUACCGGAUGUCUUCUUCCGAUCGCAUGGUGGGAAGAGGAAAUGUUCAGGCGCUUCGGGAUGGGCUCGCGGUCUAUCAGCUUGUUGGUGGGGUAACGGCCUACCAAGGCGACGACGGAUAGUUGGUCUGAGAGGACGAUCAGCCACACUGGGACUGAGACACGGCCCAGACUCCUACGGGAGGCAGCAGUAGGGAAUCUUGCGCAAUGAGGGAAACCUUGACGCAGCGACGCCGCGUGCGGGAUGAAGGCCUUCGGGUUGUAAACCGCUUUCAGCAGGGACGAAAUUGACGGUACCUGCAGAAGAAGGCCCGGCCAACUACGU